rnacentral:rRNA from 1 species
GGGGGGGGGGGGGGGGGGGGCUGGUGGGGGCGGGUCGAGCGGGGGGACGGGGAGCUUGCUCCUCUGGCGUUGGCGGCGGGCGGGUGGGUAGCACGUGGAUAACCUACCUCUAAGCCUGGGGUAACUUCGGGAAACCGGCGCGAAUAGCGGGUCAUAUAUUGAACCGCAUGGUUCAGUAGUGACAGCCGGUGUUGCGGUGUAUUAUAGAUGGGUCUGCGCCGCAUUCGCUAGUUGGUAAGGUGACGGCUUACCAACGCAACGAUGCGUAUCCGACCUGAGAGGGUGAUCGGCCACCCUGGAACUGAGACACGGUCCAGACUCCUACGGGAGGCAGCAGUAGGGAAUCUUCCGCAAUGGGCGAAAGCCUGACGGAGCAACGCCGCGUGAGUGAUGAAGGUCUUCGGAUCGUAAAACUCUGUUAUUAGGGAAGAACAAAUGUGUAAGUAACUAUGCACGUCUUGACGGUACCUAAUCAGAAAGCCACGGCUAACUACGUG